UACGUAGGUGGCAAGCGUUGUCCGGACUUACUGGGUGUAAAGGGCGUGUAGCCGGGCUUACAAGUCAGAUGUGAAAUCCGGGGGCUCAACCCCCGAACUGCAUUUGAAACUGUAGGUCUUGAGUAUCGGAGAGGCAGGCGGAAUUCCUAGUGUAGCGGUGAAAUGCGUAGAUAUUAGGAGGAACACCAGUGGCGAAGGCGGCCUGCUGGACGACAACUGACGGUGAGGCGCGAAAGCGUGGGGAGCAAACAGG
rnacentral:rRNA from 1 species